rnacentral:lncRNA from 1 species
CAAAGUUUAUUAAAAGACGUCGCUGUAUCAAUACAUUGAUAUUCAAAGUAAAGAUAUUUUGUCAAUCCAGGACAUUGAUCACCAGAGAACAAGUUAUCAUUCACAGUUAUAUUACACUCAUGUUGACCAUCACAUUGUUUCUUAACAAGACAUGUUACAUCAACUUCACAACUAUAAUAAUCACUCAAACCACAUGUCUUUGUGUCAGACAAUCCACGGUACGAUGCAUUCUUGACCACC